rnacentral:rRNA from 1 species
GCGAGUGAAGCGGCAAGAGCUCAAAUUUGAAAUCUGGUACCUUUGGUGCCCGAGUUGUAAUUUGAAGAAAGCAAUCUUGGGUCUGGCCCUUGUCUAUGUUCCUUGGAACAGGACGUCACAGAGGGUGAGAAUCCCGUGCGAUGGGGUGUCCAGUCCUAUGUAAGAUGUUUUCGAAGAGUCGAGUUGUUUGGGAAUGCAGCUCAAAGUGGGUGGUAAAUUCCAUCUAAAGCUAAAUAUUGGCGAGAGACCGAUAGCGAACAAGUACUGUGAAGGAAAGAUGAAAAGAACUUUGAAAAGAGAGUGAAAAAGUACGUGAAAUUGUUGAAAGGGAAGGGUAUUUGAUCAGACUUGGUAUUUAGUUAUCAUUGCUCCUUGUGGGUGGUGCUCUAGCUUUUUACUGGGCCAGCAUCAGUUUUGGUGGCAGGAUAAUGACAGUUGAAUGUGGCUCCUCGGAGUGUUAUAGCUUCUGUUGAUACUGCCUACUGGGACUGAGGUCUGCGGCUUUUGCCUAGGAUGCUGGCGUAAUGAUUAAAUACCGCCC